CCUAACAUGCAUUUCUACCCAUACUCAACCAUCAAAACCCUUUAAAACUCACUUAAAACCUCAUGAAACGUAAAAGAAAGCAUAGAUCCACACUUACCUCUUGAAGAUCGAGGGUUGGUGCGACCCAAAGCUUGAGAUGUGGAGAACCCAAACUCUUAAAGUCUCCAAGCUCUCCAAACCUUGAUCCAAGCUUUAAAACUCUUCAAAACAACCAUAUAGCUUAU
rnacentral:lncRNA from 1 species